UUGAAAGGGAAACGAUUGAAGUCAGUCGUACCGACGAGAAAUCAGCUUAUCGUGUGUUAACUUGUGGGCGUGCGUGAGUUUCGGCCUCGCUGUUUGCAUGUUUGUGCGCUUUGGGUGUACUUUUUCGUAUGGUUGGCCAACAUCAGUUUCGAUCACCAUAAAAUGACUGGCGGAAUGUAGCUUCGAUUUCGGUUGAAGUGUUAUAGCCUCUGGUAGAUGUGGUGAUUGGGACUGAGGAUUGCAACGAAUAUCCUUUGGGCUAUCCGUCUGGCCUCUGAAAGUUGCUUGGGUGCUGAAAGCUUGCUUAUGGUUAUCUAAGUUAACGGUCAAUAGGUUAGAACGCGAUUACAUUCGUUAAGGAUGUUGACGUA
rnacentral:rRNA from 1 species